rnacentral:rRNA from 1 species
AACGGCCGCGGUAUCUUGACCGUGCAAAGGUAGCAUAAUCAUUAGUCCUUUAAUAUGGGACUGGUAUGAAGGGUUUAACGAGGAACUAGCUGUCUCAAUUUAAUUUGUUAAAAGUUAGCUUUUUAGUUAAAAGGCUAGAAUUUUGUUGGAAGACGAGAAGACCCUAUAGAGCUUUACAUUUAUAUUUUGUAGUAUUAAUUCUGUUUNAUUUAUAUACUUCUUUAUUUAGGUGUUUUGUUGGGGUGACAUUAAAUAUAUAUUUAACUUUUAUUGUUUAAGGACCAUUUAUUUAUGAAUAUUUGAUCCAUUCUUAAUGAUCUUUAGAAUAAGUUACCUUA